rnacentral:rRNA from 1 species
GGUGUAGGCGGAUUGAUAAGUCAGAAGUGGAAGCCCCGGGCUCAACCCGGGAAGUGCUUUUGAUACUGUCGAUCUUGAGUGUGGGAGAGGAUAGUAGAAUUCCUGGUGUAGUGGUGAAAUACGUAGAUAUCAGGAGGAACACCGGUGGGGAAGCCGGCUGUCUGGCCCAACACUGACGCUCAGACCCGAAAGCGUGGGGAGCAAACAGGAUUAGAUACCCUGGUAGUCC